GCAUGCAGUCCGCUAGGGGCGCUGCGGUGCACAAGGGCGUUCGUUCCCGACGCGCGCUCUCUUUCUCCCUUCAGCCAUGGAUGAUAACGGUCGCUUCUGAUAACGGCGCGCCCGUUAUGGAUAAGGAGAGAGUGGCGGCUCAACUGCAAACGGAGUCGAGGGCUCGCAAAGCUGCUGCAGCACGGCGACGCAGACAACAAGCGGACCCGGAGUCUAGGGCGCGGGAAGCUGCAGCAAAACGGCAACGCGGGCAAGCGGACCCGGAGCUGAGGGCUCGCGAAGCUGCUGCGGCAAAACGGCAACGCCUGCAAGCGGACUCGGAGCUGAGGGCUCGCGAAGCUCGCGCUUGAACCGAGCAUCGGCGCCACCAACCUCAGAGGUUCGACAGACGUCCUGCACGGCAUUCACGCUUGUGCACAGCAAUUUUCACUACCAAAUUUUUGACAUCCACGCCACGCAAAGGACUCUGCUACCACGUGACACCGGUUUCCUGCGAAAUAUCUGCCCAAAUGAGGUGCUCCGUUCAGCGAGAUCGCCAGUUGGAGCGCCGGAUCACUCUAUGCAUCGUUGCAUCCUCGUCCUGUCACAAGACCCAAGGAUGAUAGGGAUAUCUACUUCCAGUGCUCGGAGCAUUACGAUCCGCCCUCUUCCCUCACCUGAUCAGUGACUCCGCACAAGGCUCGACCAUGGGGAUGUCCAAGUUCGAUUUUACGGAACCUCUUUGGUGGAUCGUACGAGCGUUCAGGCAUAAUUAAGGGUUGCCCGAUAUGAACCCGAGUCAGAGAUCUUCAGUACCUCAGUGCAAUGUCAAUGCGAAGACUCUCAAGUCAUCAACCAGAAUUGGAGGGUGCGAUGCCGGUCUGAAGGUUUGUAUGUACCUGGCAAAGCGUUAUAUCGUUCAAAAUUCACAGAAAAAAAAGAAGAAAAAAAUUCCAGCCGCAUCUAUCUCACGCUGCCUGUCUACAAUAGUGGUAAAACGGACGCAUAGCCGGUCAUUUGAUUUCGCUUUUCCGUCAAUUAAAAGAGAUUCAAUAAGCGUCCAACUACCACCGGUGUCAAUACGAUGCUGAAAAGCAAAUGAUUCUCUGACUGCAUUUCAUGAUUUCAAUACUGCAACCCUCCAAUACACCUCUAUUUCCGAUAUUCAGAAAUACAAGGAUUUUUUUGGUCACAUUAUGAAUUAUGUAUAACUUCCACUACGCAGUUUUUGAGUAGCGUUAAGCCGGUGCGCAAUAAUUUUUUUAAGGGACGCACAUCCUCCUCAGACUUCUUGUACAUCACAUCGCGCGCGCUGUUUAAUGCUUUUAGAUUAUACCUCAGCAUCGAUGACGACGAAACGUUCCUCCGGGAUAUGAAGUUAGAUGUCCGCGGAACUGCAUGGAAGUGAUUUAGUGAUGCUCUUGCCAUCAGCUUCCGAUAAGGUUGACAAUAAUUUGAUUUAUACCGUUGUGGCUUCAGCCCAUCACAUGAUGUUACUUCUUCACCUGUAUUUAUAGGCAAAGAAAAGCUAUUUUCACAGUAGCAAACAUGCCGUCACAUGAGAGACUGUUCCUUUGUCUGCGUAAAUGUAUAAGUUGCCUUCAACACCCGCCUCCAUUUAAAAAAAAAGAAAAAAAAGAAAGAAAGAUGGAUUUUAACGUUCGUAACAUGACACUAGGUAAUAAGAGCCUACUUGAAAAACGAUCAUAUUCUUGGGACUCAGGAGGACAUAUGGGAAGUACAACUCGU